AGCGGCGAACGGGUGAGUAACGCGUGAGCAACCUACCUUAGUUACUGGGAUAGCCCGAGGAAACUCGGAUUAAUACCGGAUAUUCUUAUUUAAUCACAUGAUUUUUUAAGGAAAGGUCAGCCGAACUAAGAUGGGCUCGCGUUCUAUCAGCUAGUUGGUAGGGUAACGGCCUAACAAGGCUACGACGGAUAGCUGGUCUGAGAGGACGAUCAGCCACACUGGGACUGAGACACGGCCCAGACUCCUACGGGAGGCUGCAGCAGGGAAUAUUGUGCAAUGAACGAAAGUUUGACACAGCGACACCGCGUGUGGGAUGACGGAUCUAGGUUUGUAAACCACUUUCAGGAGGGAAGAAAAUGACGGUACCUCCACAAGAAGCCCCGGCCAACUACGUGCCAGCAGCCGCGGUAAUACGUAGGGGGCGAGCGUUGUCCGGAUUUAUUGGGCGUAAAGAGCUCGUAGGCGGUUCAACAAGUCGGUCGUGAAAGUUCAGGGCUCAACCCUGAAAUGUCGAUCGAUACUGUUGUGACUAGGAUACGGCAGAGGUGAGUGGAAUUCCGAGUGUAGCGGUGAAAUGCGUAGAUAUUCGGAGGAACACCAAUUGCGAAGGCAGCUCACUGGGCCGCUAUCGACGCUGAGGAGCGAAAGCUAGGGGAGCAAACAGGAUUAGAUACCCUGGUAGUCCUAGCUGUAAACGAUGGAUACUAGAUGUAGGAAUUGGUUUAACGAUUUCUGUAUC
rnacentral:rRNA from 1 species